rnacentral:miRNA from 1 species
GGCUCAAUCUCAGGUCCUUCAGGCUUCUGCCUUUGGCUUUCUGAAGUGAGCUGAGCUAGAGAUUGGGCACA